CACUCCUGCGGGAGGCAGCAGUGGGGAAUAUUGCACAAUGGGCGCAAGCCUGAUGCAGCGACGCCGCGUGGGGGAUGAAGGCCUUCGGGUUGUAAACUCCUUUCGCUAGGGACGAAGCUUUUUUGUGACGGUACCUAGAUAAGAAGCACCGGCUAACUACGUGCCAGCAGCCGCGGUAAUACGUAGGGUGCGAGCGUUGUCCGGAAUUACUGGGCGUAAAGGGCUCGUAGGUGGUUUGUCGCGUCGUCUGUGAAAUUCUGGGGCUUAACUCCGGGCGUGCAGGCGAUACGGGCAUAACUUGAGUGCUGUAGGGGUAACUGGAAUUCCUGGUGUAGCGGUGAAAUGCGCAGAUAUCAGGAGGAACACCGAUGGCGAAGGCAGGUUACUGGGCAGUUACUGACGCUGAGGAGCGAAAGCAUGGGUAGCGAACAGGAUUAGAUACCCUAGUAGUCCCA
rnacentral:rRNA from 1 species